GGACUACACGGGUUUCUAAUCCUGUUCGCUCCCCACGCUUUCGCUCCUCAGCGUCAGUACAGGCCCAGAGAACCGCCUUCGCCACCGGUGUUCCUCCCGAUAUCUGCGCAUUUCACCGCUACACCGGGAAUUCCAUUCUCCCCUGCCUGCCUCUAGCCUGCCCGUAUCCACUGCAGGCCCGGGGUUAAGCCCCGGGUUUUCACAGCAGACGCAACAGGCCGCCUACGAGCUCUUUACGCCCAAUAAUUCCGGACAACGCUUGCGCCCUACGUGUUACCGCGGCGGCUGGCAC
rnacentral:rRNA from 1 species